rnacentral:lncRNA from 1 species
UAUCAAACGUAUUUCAAGACUCCAAAUGAGCACUCUUUGGCAGUAAUCCAAUGGUUAAACAGCUUUUAUUUUGUACAAACGCUUUUGGUGCUGACACCCGCCAUCAUCAGGUUUACUCUUAUGUUGUGAACUCACCUGCAGCAUUCAUUGAGAAUCUCAAAAGCUGUACUCUUACAAAUGAAGAUAAUUUUAUAAUUAUGGACUUCCACAAACUUUAUCCAUCUAUUAACUAUAGCUUCAGCAUGCCUCACACUUUACCAUUUCUUUUUAGAACAUUUAGAUAGUAAAUACAGCCGCAACUAAUUAGAACUAUACAUCAUACCAUAGUCUACAAGUUGUACUACUACUUUGAAGAGAACACUAGAGACAGUUGACUGAUGUCCAAUUGGUGGGCCUAUGGCCAAAAUGAUGGCUGAGUUGAUUAUAUGAUGCAAAGAAAACACAGCCAUCCAAGAAUUUAUAACAAAUGCCUGUUGUGUAGAUGACAUUUUCUUAAUUAUAAACCUAACAUAAUCACAAAAGUUUUUUUGGAUAGCUUCUUAGGACUGAUUUUAUACCUGGACCAACACUCAAAAUCUGAAAUAUAUUUCCUUGAAUAAUGUGCUAAAUGUCACUGUAUACCAUAAACUGACUUAUGUGCUGACAAUGACCCCAUCAUUGUUGGACGAUCUUUAUAGAUAUAAAUUAGCAGCAAUAAAAAUGCUUCUCUGACAUAAAUACACAUUGAACAACACAGGAAACUAAAAACAAUGAACAUAAUUAUCAACUAUGCAGUCACUAAUAAUUACACUCCAUCUAUGAUAAUGAGGCUGUACAGAAUCAUAUAGAUCAUAAACAAGAUACAGGCAGAAUACUAAUAGAACUACUCUUAACUAAACCAACAAGAAUACAAAUAGAAUAUGACUCCUCAUUACAUAUAAAAUCAAAACUUAAAGAGAAGCUAAAUAUAGAAC